rnacentral:rRNA from 1 species
UGAGUUUGAUCAUGGCUCAGAGUGAACGCUGGCGGCAGGCCUAACACAUGCAAGUCGAGCGGCAGCGCGGGGGCAACCCUGGCGGCGAGCGGCGGACGGGUGAGGAAUGCAUCGGAAUCUACCUCGUUGUGGGGGAUAACCUCGGGAAACCGGGACUAAUACCGCAUACGACCUACGGGUGAAAGUGGGGGACCUUCGGGCCUCACGCGAUGAGAUGAGCCGAUGCCGGAUUAGCUAGUUGGUGAGGUAACGGCUCACCAAGGCGACGAUCAGUAGCCGGCCUGAGAGGGUGGACGGCCACACUGGGACUGAGACACGGCCCAGACUCCUACGGGAGGCAGCAGUGGGGAAUAUUGGACAAUGGGGGCAACCCUGAUCCAGCAAUGCCGCGUGUGUGAAGAAGGCCUGCGGGUUGUAAAGCACUUUUGUUGAGGAAGAACGUGUUUGGGUAAAUAGCCCGAAUGCUUGACGUUACUCAAAGAAAAAGCACCGGCUAACUCCGUGCCAGCAGCCGCGGUAAUACGGAGGGUGCAAGCGUUAAUCGGAAUUACUGGGCGUAAAGCGUGCGUAGGCGGAAUUUUAAGUCUGAUGUGAAAUCCCCGGGCUUAACCUGGGAACUGCAUUGGAUACUGGGAUUCUAGAGUAUGGUAGAGGGUGGCGGAAUUUCUGGUGUAGCGGUGAAAUGCGUAGAUAUCAGAAAGAACACCAAUGGCGAAGGCAGCCACCUGGGCCAAUACUGACGCUGAGGCACGAAAGCGUGGGGAGCAAACAGGAUUAGAUACCCUGGUAGUCCACGCCGUAAACGAUGUUCACUCGCUGUUUGCGAUACGCAGUAAGCGGCUUAGCGAAAGCAUUAAGUGAACCACCUGGGGAGUACGAUCGCAAGGUUGAAACUCAAAGGAAUUGACGGGGGCCCGCACAAGCGGAGGAACAUGUGGUUUAAUUCGAUGAUACGCGAGGAACCUUACCUGGGCUUAAAUGUAGGUUGCAUGGCUUAGAGAUAGGCCUUCCCUUCGGGGCUACUUACAAGGUGCUGCAUGGUUGUCGUCAGCUCGUGCCGUGAGGUGUCGGGUUAAGUCUCAUAACGAGCGCAACCCCUAUCGUUAGUUGCCAGCGGGUCAAGCCGGGGACUCUAGCGAGACUGCCACCGUAAGGUGAGAGGAAGGUGGGGAUGACGUCAAAUCAGCACGGCCCUUAUGUCCAGGGCUACACACGUGUUACAAUGGCCGAUACAAAGGGCAGCUACCGGGCGACCGGAUGCUAAUCUCGAAAGUCGGUCCCAGUUCGGAUUGGAGUCUGCAACCCGACUCCAUGAAGUUGGAUUCGCUAGUAAUCGCGCAUCAGCCAUGGCGCGGUGAAUACGUUCCCGGGCCUUGUACACACCGCCCGUCACACCAUGGGAGUUGGUUGCUCCAGAAGUAGGUAGUCUAACCGCAAGGGGGACGCUUACCACGGAGUGGUCAAUGACUGGGGUGAAGUCGUAAACAAGGNACC